GAUGAACGCUGGCGGCGUGCCUAACACAUGCAAGUCGAGCGGUAUACAUUGGAAUGAUAUUUCGAUUGAGUGAAGAUGUUGAGAGCGGCGGACGGGUGAGUAACGCGUAGGCAACCUGCCCCAUACACAGGGAUAGCCUCGGGAAACCGGGAUUAAAACCUGAUAAUGCGAAGGGUCUUCAUGGACCUUUCGCCAAAGAUUUAUCGGUAUGGGAUGGGCCUGCGUCUGAUUAGCUAGUUGGUGGGGUAACGGCCUACCAAGGCGACGAUCAGUAGCCGACCUGAGAGGGUAAUCGGCCACAUUGGAACUGAGACACGGUCCAAACUCCUACGGGAGGCAGCAGUGGGGAAUAUUGCACAAUGGGCGAAAGCCUGAUGCAGCAACGCCGCGUGAGCGAUGAAGGCCUUUGGGUCGUAAAGCUCUGUCCUUGGGGAAGAAAAAAAUGACGGUACCCUUGGAGGAAGCCCCGGCUAACUACGUG
rnacentral:rRNA from 1 species